UGCCCUGUGGUGUAAUUUUGGCAACAUCCUAGAUUUUGGCUCUAGAGAUUCCAGGUUCAAACCCUGGCAGGGCAGCCA
rnacentral:tRNA from 1 species